AUGGCAUAUGCGAUUCUCCUCCAAGAAAAAAUGUUUCUCAGGAAGCAGGAUGAUGUAUUGAGUUUGCAUAAUAUUAAGGACAACCGUACAAACACAGGCUCUACUGUCAUCAAAACUCUUAAUCAAGGGCCUAAUAAAAACUCUCAACGAAGUCAAUGGAGUUUAGGAAGCAAUUCAUCUCAGCCUGAGCUAGGCAUUUACAAUAAGUUUGAUGAACCGGUCCCUUUGCUUCUGGAAGCAGACAGACAACAGCAGACAGAAGAUGGAAUGGGGCUGACUGUGAACAUGAGCAUAAAGUCUGGUGGAUCUGGAAAACCUGAACAGCAGAAGAGCAGCAGACGAACUGAGUGGCUUUGUAAGAUGAUCUCUGCCUUGGUCUAGAGCUGAAAGGGAAGAAGGAAGGAUACCCUCUCGGCAAAUCCACAUUCUCAGCUAUGUGGCAUCAUUUGAGACAGAAACAUGUCCAGGCAGUGCCAGAGGGGUGACCCUGACUGUUGACAUUUCUGCACCACUCAGGCCUACAAGCAGGUUGUGAUCCAAAUUCUCCCUCUGAAUUGCAUGCAAGCACUGAGAGCAGACACAGGUAAGGACUACAAGUGCUGUCUGUGCAAUGACAUGGGGACUUUUACACCCCACAGCUGGCGACAUCCCUGCUCCACCAAGUGCUGUAAAGGGCAACCAAACCUCUCUGGAUGAGACCACCCAGUUCUCUGUGGCCUGCUACAAGCCCACUCCCAUUUGUUCCAGCUGUGGCUGUGUAGUGUUUCUGACACAUUUUCUUCUGGGACAGUUUUUCAGUUGCUUUGUUACACAUUUUCUGUCCUCCUUUGAGAGUAUUCACUGUGUUAUGCAAUUAACAAGCAGAUACAGAAAGAGGUGCGUGGGGCAGUGCAUAGUAAAUGUCCUAUCAAUUCAGGGAAUAAAAAAAAGGUUGAAAAAUGUCUUUUGCUUUAU
rnacentral:lncRNA from 1 species